rnacentral:tRNA from 1 species
GGUGGCUUAGUGGUAGAGUGUUUGCCUAGCAUGCAUGAAGCCCUGGGUUCCAUUCUCAGCACCA